UGCACAGCUUAGCCGACCACCCCAGCUUCGGCUGCCGAAACUGCAUGCAAAACCAUGCAACCUUCGGAGGCCGAACAUAAACUUCGGGGGCCGAACAUUGGGCACUUUCGGCGGCCGAACUUAACAUUCGGGGGCCGAACAUGACAGAAACUCCUUUGGCCAUUUCUCCCGAAAACUCAACUAUAUCCUAAUCAAACCGUGAAAAAACUUUAAAACAUUUUAGAAAACCUUCACUCUCUCCUCAGGAAACCUCUGACAUCCUUGAAUCCCAC
rnacentral:lncRNA from 1 species